CACCAAAACCUUCUUCACCCGAAAAUUAUGAAUGACUGCUUCAAUGACAAGCGCGUCAUCAUGGGGCAUCUGAAUGCCCUGUGCAUCCUCCGAAGAGAAAGCGAUGGUCAUGGGAGAGUGUUCAACGAUCUGCAUAACCUCGCCAUUGCUGGUCUCCCCUUCCCGGUUUCUCUUCUUUCCUCGACGGUUCAUCCGUCCUCCAGUUCCUCCAACAAUCAUAUUAAUAGUCCCACUGGACCCAUCAUUCACUGGUCCAGCUCCAGUUCUCCUGGGCAUCUGGGCUGCCGGACCGGGUUGAGGCCUCUGCCCCUCCGGUUUCUUCACAAAAUUUUUGAGAUGCCCCCUUUUUAUCAAUCUUUCAAUUUCCGCGAUUAACUGAAAACAGUUAUUUGUAUCGUGGCCAUGCGUCCGGUGGUACUGACAAUACUUGUCAGGAUUCCUCUAAUCUGCUUCUGACUUCAAAGGUUUGGGCCACUGGAGAAACUCCUUAUCCUGGACAGCCAUGAGCACCUCGGCUCUGGACGCAUUUAAUGGAGUCGGUUUCUCCGGGACCCAAGGAGGGAGCACUCUUGGUUCAUGAGCCCUGGGAGGAGGGGGAGGCCUUUGAUCCCUUCUUUCCCAGGCCUGCUUGUAUGGCUCAGGCCUCUUUCCAUGCUUCUUCUCGUGUUU
rnacentral:lncRNA from 1 species